rnacentral:rRNA from 1 species
UACGUAGGGACCGAGCGUUGUCCGGAAUCAUUGGGCGUAAAGAGCGUGUAGGCGGCCAAUUAAGUCCUGCGUGAAAUCUCGGGGCUCAACCCCGAGCGGUCGUGAGAAACUGGUUGGCUAGAGUGCGGGAGAGGAGAGUGGAAUUCCUGGUGUAGCGGUGAAAUGCGCAGAUAUCAGGAAGAACACCCGUGGCGAAGGCGGCUCUCUGGAACGCAACUGACGCUGAGACGCGAAAGCGUGGGGAGCAAACAGG